rnacentral:rRNA from 1 species
AUGCCCCUGGACUUCACCAAGCACUUCGUCGCGGUGCCGACAAAGUUCAAGCUCGGGAACAACACCGGCUGCUCCUGGAAGGUGAUGAUGAAGCUGAUGAACGGCAGGGUGACCCUGGAUCAGGGUUGGGCCACCUACGCAGCCGUUCAUCAGAUCAAAAUCGGCUACAUGGUGACGUUCAAGCUCCUCACUCCCGACACCCUCAAGGUCAUCAUCUUCGACGACGAUGGCAUUAAGGUCGUCAACAAGUGCGGGAAGCACGACGAAGCCUUCGCCGCCAAGGAGUAG